rnacentral:ncRNA from 1 species
AGACAGCUUGCGGGAGAGGCCCGCCCCCCGGGGGCCGGGCGCCGACGACGCAACCGCCCGGAAACGUACCGGCAAAAGGACCGCGAGGCUACU